GAUGAACGCUAGCUACAGGCUUAACACAUGCAAGUCGAGGGGUAACAAGAGGAAAGCUUGCUUUUCUUGUUGACGACCGGCGCACGGGUGAGUAACGCGUAUCCAACCUGCCUAUAACUAGGGAAUAACCUUGCGAAAGUAAGACUAAUACCCUAUGAUUUCCUUUGAUGACAUCAGAUUAGGAAUAAAGAUUUAUCGGUUAUAGAUGGGGAUGCGUCUGAUUAGCUUGUUGGCGGGGUAACGGCCCACCAAGGCAACGAUCAGUAGGGGUUUUGAGAGGAAGGUCCCCCACAUUGGAACGGAGACACGGUCCAAACUCCUACGGGAGGCAGCAGUGAGGAAUAUUGGUCAGUGGGCGGAAGCCUGAACCAGCCAAGUAGCGUGCAGGAUGACGGCCCUAUGGGUUGUAAACUGCUUUUAUACAGGAAUAAAGUUAGCCACGUGUGGUUAUUUGUAGGUACUGUAUGAAUAAGGACCGGCUAAUUCCGUGCCAGCCGCCGCGGUAA
rnacentral:rRNA from 1 species